rnacentral:rRNA from 1 species
GCGUGAAGUCGGAAUCGCUAGUAAUCGCGGAUCAGCAUGCCGCGGUGAAUACGUUCCCGGGCCUUGUACACACCGCCCGUCACACCAUGAGAGUCGGGAACACCCGAAGUCCGUAGCCUAACCAAUCUGGAGGGCGCGGCCGAAGGUGGGUUCGAUAAUUGGGGUGAAGUCGUAACAAGGUAGC